UGUGUCGGUCUAUCCAAAUCGAUCACAUCCUCAUGAUGAUACUAUGAUCGAAAGCAGUUAAAAAUUAUAUGCAUAUCUCUAAUUCUCAACACUUUGAGAAUAUGUAUCGAAAUAUUAAUUUUAUGGAUGUUUUAAAGACACAUCAUACUUGAAUAAAAAUUAAACUUGCCCUUUUAUUGAUCAAAUCAAUGUAUUAAGUAUAAAAUUAUAUUUUAACUAUAUCAUAAUGUGUC
rnacentral:lncRNA from 1 species